AGCCAACAGUGUUCACCUGGGAGGGGGAGGGAAGGGACCGGAGGAAUGGGGCUCCGCUUUGAAGGUCAGAGAGCAUCUCGGAGCUGUCACGGCCCGGCUGCCCGCCGCGCGGGACCAACUUCCUUCCCGUCCUCGCCGAUACCGACAAGGCACCUAGGCCGCGGCGAGGACGGCGCGGAGUGGCGGUGGAUGUGAUGGGGGGGGAGGAGGAGGCGAUCAGGCCGUCAAGGCUGCGCCCCCGGUGAAUAAUUCCAAGCUUAAUUGGAAAGAAAUCCAUACGUGGAACUUCACGUGCGCACGGGAUCACAGUACCUUGAAGAAACAAUUACAAAGCAUAGAGAGUUGCCAUGUGGUUGGGUGGUUAAAGGGCGAUCGUGACACACCUGGGAGGAAAUGAAAGAACUCUCCCAAGAGCAGAGACGGAGUCUUUGCUGCCGUCAGAGUGAUUAGGUGUGGCUGCGGAGGCCAGCUUGCUUCCCCCGUCUUCAGCAGGUCCUAAUUUCAUGUGUCUCCAAUCCCCCGAAGAUGGGCAGUAAUCAGUUUGUUCCUGUCUGCUGGCUUUCUGGGAGGGAAAGGCGGCACUAAUCAGAAGUGGCACAGCGCUCGCAGAUGCCAGGCAAAGGGGAGGGGAGCGAGAUGACACCUCACGGAUUUAUUACCUCCCCAUCUGCAUCCUGAGCUCGGCGAAUCCUGCAGGAAAUGGGCAAAAUAAAUAAAGCUAACCGCCGCGUUAACCGAACGUGGCAAAUGCACGCUUGGAAUUUUGCGUCCAGAGACACCCCCUCUUGAGUGUUGCCUUUUGUGCUGAGGCUGUUUGUAUGUUUGGCUGCUUUGCGUUUAGGAAUUAUUAUCCUCAGUUCAGUUUUACUAUUUUGUCUUUAUUUUGAUUUUGUCUACUGCCUCCUCGUUUCAUAUGUGAUUUAAUUUCAGUAGAAUGAGAAUGAUACAGUGCUGAAGAACAAACUCGGCUAGGGUUGUAUUUAAGUAUUUUCAUCAGUUGGUUUAUUUAUUCAAAGAUGUUUGGCCUACUGACCUUUUCUCCCUGACCACCUUAGGGCAGCACAUUCACUGCGCUCUGGCCUAAAAACCUUUUUUAUUCAGCUUGUUUUUACUAGCUUUUACUUCAUUUUAAGUAUGUUUUAACUAUGUUUUGGCACUUGAUGAAAGGUCCGUUAUAAUUAAAAAUGUAUUAUAAAUAUGCGGCGAAAAACAAUUUAUAUAUUCAAUAGAAAACCAUCUUUUGAGAUGUGGAGUACAUGUAUUUGUAACUAACAGUAUUUUCCUCAUGAUUAUGAGUACAUUGUUAAAAAACAUAAUUUAAAGUGGCAAGAACACUAAAUGUAUAAAUUUAAAAAAUGUCUGUUUUACUGUUUUCUGUUCUGGGGCUUUUAUCAAAAGUUCUUUCCUCUUUUGUUCCCUUAUUUAUGUUCAGUUUGGAUAAUCCAAAGUGAUGUUCCCACACACUUUGCGGCCUGUUUGUUAGGCCAUGCCCCUAAUAAGGUUUACAAUUGAGCAUCACAUUAAGGCGUUGACCUUUUGAUGUAACCCAACUGGCCUUUUCACCCAUAGACAUUCACCUUUGACCUUUGUCAUUCUCAAUACUCCGUGAACAGGUUGUGGGUUGAGUAUCGAUUAUAUAUUGUCUUUAAGGUGCUCAGGUAUUGAGCCCUCUUCAGUUCAUCGCGGAUUGAAUGGGAGAUUACAUAUUGAGGGAAUAAUCUAUGGAAUACAUUUCAUAACAUGGGGCCUUUGAUCUGUGGUGGUUUCAGAUGUCUGAUUUGAGACCUGUCUAUUUCUCACACUUCAUUCUGUGUCACUUUCAGCUCAGGGAGAGGCAGAAUUCCUUUUCUUAUAUAAAAAAACAAACACAAAAC
ensembl:lncRNA